rnacentral:misc_RNA from 1 species
GAUGAAGAACGUAGCGAAAUGCGAUAAGUAAUGUGAAUUGCAGAAUUCAGUGAAUCAUCGAAUCUUUGAACGCACAUUGCGCCCGCCAGUAUUCUGGCGGGCAUGCCUGUUCGAGCGUCAUUUCAACCAUCAAGCCCCCGGGCUUGUGUUGGGGACCUGCGGCUGCCGCAGGCCCUGAAAAGCAGUGGCGGGCUCGCUGUCACACCGAGCGUAGUAGCUUACAACCUCGCUUUGGGAGUGCUGCGGGUGCUGGCCGUAAAGCGACCUUUUGCGUCUUUAGCACUAGGUUGACCUCGGAUCAGGUAGGAGGACCCGCUGAACUUAAGCAUAUCAAUAAGCGGAGGA